AAACCGCUUUCCAAAUGUGACACGAACGAUCGGGCGGCCUUCUUUCUUUCGCUCCUCCACUCAUCCUCGGUGGUCGUCAAGUCCUCCGUCGCCUUGCCUUGCAUCUUCUUCGACGCUCGUCGAGUUCUUCACUCCCGACUACCGCUCUCCCUGGCCGGCCGCCGCGUCCUCCAACUCUCCGACGGUCGAUCUCCCGUCCGGCGUCCUCAAGUGGAUCAUGUGGAGCAAAAUUGAUCUGUGAUCGUGGGUAUGAACUUGUUCGUGGAUGCUGUUUGGAGUAGUUUUUCGUGGAACAACCUCAUUCGUCAGGUUACUCAUUUCCCGUACCAUGAGUUUGUAGAUCGCUCAGCAAUGUACAGAGUGGGAUCAUUGUUCUAUGCAAUUUACUUUAUAGUUAGCUUCCCCAUGUUCAUAAGGUGAUGUUAAAAGCAGGAAAAUAUGAGCUUGUUCACAAGUUUUUUGGAAAAAUGAGAAAAAGAGGACUUGCUCCAAAUUCUCACACAUAUAAAGUUCUUAUGACUGCCUGUUGGAGAGAAGGUAAGAUAGACGAUGCUGUUGAAGCAGUUUUGGAUAUGGAACGGAGGGGAGUAGUUGGGUCGGCUAGUGUGGGAAACCUCAGAUGAUGAUUUCAAGGAACAAAGUAAUGCAAUACCGACUAUCUCUCGGCGUCAUGCGGGCGAAAUAGGCCUGAAAAUGUCAGCCCGAGAGAACUUGAUUCUUUUGGAUCUACAUGUUCUUGACCUGACACAGCAAAGACCUAGAUGGCACAGGGUGGUUGUACAAGGUGCUGGCCCAGGUCCUCGAUAUGGCCAUGUGAUGGCUCUAGUUGGACAGCGGCUCCUGUUGGCUAUUGGUGGAAAUGAUGGAAAGUGUGAGAGCGUCCUUUGGCUAAUGUCUGGGCUUUAGAUACAGCUGCCAAGCCCUACGAGUGGAGGAAACUAGAGCCAGAAGAUCAUUCCAGAGGCCAUCUGUUCAAGAUAUGGACUUGCUGUGGGUGCCAAUUUUGGUAGGGCUUGUCCAUAUUCUCAUGAUAAUUUGCUAUCCAAUAGCUUAUCCAAUCAGGAAGGUGACCCCAUGCAGAAAAAUCGUUUUGUUCUGUAAAAGAUAAAUUCAGUUUUGAUUUCCUGAACAUACACUAUUUUUCUUGGUGAAGGAAAGCCUAUCCUUACAUUUGUUAUUUUGAAAAGCAUUCUUAAACAAUCAUGGACAUGUUUUGUGAUUAUUUUGAACUUUGGUGCUUCCGAAGAAAGUUUUAACUUUAAAAAGGAAAGCCACGUGGAAACGAUAUCUGGGUUUGUCAAGAUGAGAAAUACUUCGGGAGGCCUGCAGCUGCAUGGUACAACAUAUUCUCUAGUUUGCAUAGUGAUUCUCUGUUUUUGUAGAUCCUGGACUUUCUGCUUGGACAUAAUGAGUCUGCACUUUUCAGGCGUGCACAACUGAAAGCUCUUGUUUCUAUCCAUAGCAAAAAGGUAUUCUUUCUUUAUUUGCAUUAGUUAAUAUAUCUAUUACUUCUCUGUUUGUUGCAAUGCCACAGGUUGGUAAUGGUGGGGAACUAACACAUGAUGAGGCAACAAUUAUUAGUGGUGCACUCGAUUUGACUGAAAAGGUAUAGAAUACAAAAAGCUUGUUCAGGUUAAGGCACUAGUGCAAGAGUGUCCAGAUUUUCACUGAAGUAAUUAAGCAAGACACUCAACUUUUACGUGCCUUGCAGUUGUAUGAUUUGUAUACCUAUGGCGAACAAGAACUUGGUACUCUUUUCCACUUUGUUUACAUUCUAGAUUAUGGGCAUCUGUUCUGUUAAUUUCUUAAUGUGAGGCAUGUUCAACAUUCCUUCUUUUAUCAUUCUACUGUGAGGCAUGUUCAAUUUUUUGUUUUGGAUUAUCUUUUCAAAAGUGUUUGAACUAUGCACUUAAUAUGGAUUGCCUCUUCUAUUGCUUUUAGGGGGUAAAAAUGUCAUGCUUCUUCUCUUCUUCGCACAAAUCUUUUCUUAUUCUUGGUUAAUAGCAUUUUGUUCUGUUAAUUCUCUUUCGUUAGAUUUUUCAUUUUGUCCCAUUGUUGAAUGAGGAAAGCAAUGCUCUGGAUUGGUGGCCCCAUCCACACAUGUGUAACAUGAGUUGGUAGGGAAAUAUAUAGGUGAGCUCUGGAAUGGAUCUUGGAUUUGGGAAAUAUGGAAAAGAUGAUUACAUAUUAUACUUACAUAAAUUCAGAGUAGAGUCGGAUUUCUGGGUGCAGGUUCUCUUUUUUUCAUUUUAAACUGUCCAUGUCUUUGAGGAUAUCAUGUGUGGACCCACCUUGAAAUUUAAUUAAAUAUAGGUCAUGCUUGCAUCUAUGAAAUACUAAUAUGAUAUCUACCUUAUUAAGGUUGUACGGGUGUUAAACAUGCCCUUUCAUGUGUUUAUGUAUUGUAAGUGUUGGGCACAUGCGUUUGAGUUUCUCUCUAUGAAUUUUUGGUGAAUUAUUUGUCACCUCAGAGUCAUUACCUGAAUCUGAUUUCAGGAAAAUCGAGUCUCACCUAACUGAAGACAAGGAACUUUACCUUACCCUCUUCUUUUUUAUGAUUUAUCUGUCAUCUACUAUUCUCUGGGUUUAUAUCUUUCAGUUGUAGAAUUGUGGAUUGUGGGUGUUUGAUGCAUGUGGUCUACAAUUCUGAUGUGUUAUGCUGUCCAGGCAGAAAUGAAAGUUUCUUGAUGAUUUUAAGUUUUUAACAUUUGAAUCAUGACCUCUCUUUUGUGUUUUCUGUAGCACCUAAAAUCACAUAGUCUACUGCCUGGAUUCUACCUAAUGUGUUUGGCUGUAUAUCAUUUUAACUGGAAGGCGUGUGAUCUGUGACACAGUAUCUAGUAGCCGUUUGUACACAAUGGCCACCUCAGGCUUUACAGUUGCAUCAAUUUUGAUUCAUGUAUCUAAAUAUGCAUGUUAUUUACUGUAUAUGUGUUGGUUUCAUCACAUGCACAUGUUCCAUGCAGUAGGAUUUUUAUUUAUCCUUGCAUUAUUAUAAAUGAUGUAUCAGAAUGGAACAUCCAUGGGCGAUGGCAUGUGAUUUUCAGGUGAUUCAUUCUUCUUUUCAUUCUAGUUUCAAUUUUCUAGUUAAUGGCUAAUGAUAUUUGGUGUAGGACUAUAUUGUGAGACAAGGCAUAUGCAGCCCAGUUUGCUUCAUUUUGGAAUGAGAUUGUGAAAACCUUGCGGGAGGAAGACUAUAUCACUAAUUUGUCAGCUUAUACAUAUUAUCUUUCCAUUGUGUGUCAACCUUUGGUUUAGGUUUAGGCUAGCGAUGUACUCCGGAUAAGGAGAUGGUUUUGUUAUUUAAUCAAAAGCCUUCUUCGCUUCGUUUAGUUAUGUAAAUCAAAUUAUAACGAAUCCUUGAGAAGCAAUUUGUUUAGAAACAUAAGGGAGAACCAGUUCUUGACUAA